UAGCUCAGUGGUUAAGAGCACUGGCUGAUCUUUCAGAGGACCUGGGUUCAAUUCCCAG
rnacentral:tRNA from 1 species